UCAAGCUACUAAGGGCAUACGGUGGAUGCCUAGGCGCCAGGAGCCGAAGAAGGACGCGGUAAGCUGCGAAAAGCCACGGGGAACUGCAAGCGAGUAUUGAUCCGUGGAUAUCCGAAUGGGGAAACCCGGCCAUCGUAAUGGAUGGUCAUCCGCAAGGAAGGGAACCCGGGGAACUGAAACAUCUAAGUACCCGGAGGAAAAGAAAUCAAACGAGAUGCCCACAGUAGCGGCGAGCGAAGAGGGCAGAGCCCAAACCUGUAAGCUACGGCUUAUGGGGGUUGAGGACUGACGUAAUUAAGGCCAGGCUUAGCUGAACUACCUGGGAAGGUAGGCGAUAGAAGGUAAGAGCCCUGUAAGCGAAAGGCAGAGCCUUAAGGUCAGUAUCCAGAGUACCACGGAGCACGAGGAAUUCUGUGGGAAGCAGGGGGGACCACCCUCCAAGGCUAAAGACUAACUGGCGACCGAUAGCGCAUAGUACCGUGAGGGAAAGGUGAAAAGAACCCCGGGAGGGGAGUGAAAUAGUACCUGAAACCGUAUGUCUACAAGCAGUCGGAGCGAAAGCGACGGCGUGCCUAUUGAAGAAUGAACCAACGAGUUAUCUGCACUAGCGAGGUUAAGUGGAAGACACGGAGCCGUAGCGAAAGCGAGUCUGAAAAGGGCGAUGAGUUAGUGUAGGUAGACCCGAAACCGCAGUGAUCUACCCAUGUCCAGGUUGAAGCGCAGGUAAAAAUGCGUGGAGGACCGAACCGGUGAGCGUUGAAAAGCUUUCGGAUGAGAUGUGGGUAGGGGUGAAAUUCCAAUCGAACGCGGAGAUAGCUGGUUCUCCCCGAAAUAGCUUUAGGGCUAGCCUCAGGUAGUAAGUAUAGGCGGUAGAGCACUGAUCGGGCUAGGGGCCAUAAAGGUUACCGAACCCUGUCAAACUCCGAAUGGAUAUACUGCAGAGCCUGGGAGUCAGACUACGAGUGAUAAGAUCCGUGGUCAAAAGGGAAACAGCCCAGACCACCGGCUAAGGUCCCAAAUGCCGUACUAAGUGGAAAAGGAUGUGGGGAUUCAUAAACAACCAGGAUGUUGGCUCAGAAGCAGCCACCAUUUAAAGAGUGCGUAAUAGCUCACUGGUCGAGAGUCCCUGCGCCGAAAAUUUCCGGGGCUAAAGUACGGAACCGAAGCCGUGGCUGUGCAUGUAAGUGCACGGGGUAGGGGAGCGUUGCCACAGGGGUGAAGCUGGUCUGGAAGGACUGGUGGACUUGUGGGAAGUGAGAAUGUUGGUAUGAGUAGCGAAAAGAAAGGUGAGAAUCCUUUCCACCGAAAGCAUAAGGAUUCCUGAGCAACGAUCGUCGUCUCAGGGUAAGUCGGGACCUAAUCCGAGGCAAAGAGCGUAGGAGAUGGACAACAGGUUGAUAUUCCUGUACCGGCAGCAAUUGUUUGAGCGAAGGAGUGACACAGAAGGGCAGGCAGGCGCGAGACUGGAUUGUCGCGUGCAAGCGUGUAGGGUAGUGUACAGGCAAAUCCGUACACUGAGAGCCUGAGGCGUUACGCGGAGCGAGCAGAGAUGCGAGCGAAGCUGCUGAUCCCACACUGUCGAGAAAAGCUUCUAGUGAGAGAGCUGCCGCCCGUACCGUAAACCGACACAGGUAUGCGGGGAGAGAAUCCUAAGGUGCGCGGGAGAACCCUCGUUAAGGAACUCGGCAAAAUGUACCCGUAACUUCGGGAUAAGGGUAGCCGUCUUGGUGAAGGAGCAUGCCUCCGGAGCUGAAGGCGGUCGCAGAGAAGAGGCCCAAGCGACUGUUUACCACAAACACAGGUGCCUGCUAAAGCGAAAGCUGACGUAUAGGUGCUGACACCUGCCCAGUGCUGGAAGGUUAAGGAAGGAUGUCCGGGCAACCAAAGCAUUCGACCGAAGCCCCAGUGAACGGCGGCCGUAACUAUAACGGUCCUAAGGUAGCGAAAUUCCUUGUCGGGUAAGUUCCGACCCGCACGAAAGGUGUAACGAUUUGGGCACUGUCUCAACGAGGGACCCGGUGAAAUUGAAAUACCUGUGAAGAUGCAGGUUACCCGCGACUGGACAGAAAGACCCCAUGGAGCUUUACUGUAACCUGACAUUGGGUUUUGUUGUAUUACGUACAGGAUAGGUGGGAGGCUUGGAAGGCUGGACGCUAGUCUGGCUGGAGCCGGCGUUGGGAUACCACCCUUGAUACAACGGAAUUCUAACCGAGAGAGUAACGAAAUCCGGGACAGUGUCAGGCGGGCAGUUUGACUGGGGCGGUCGCCUCCGAAAGAG
rnacentral:rRNA from 1 species